ACGAAUGAUCCUGGGAGUCUUUUCAAGAAGGCUGAGAGUGAUGUAUAUCAGACCAGUAACCUGAUCAGCGUAAUGGCUGCGGAGGGAGAUCUAUAUAUGAUGGC
rnacentral:ncRNA from 2 species